rnacentral:rRNA from 1 species
CCGCCGUCCUGGGCGUUCCCCAACCCGCGCCUCCGCGCGGCCUACGUCGCGCUGCAGACCUGGCGCCGCACCGCCAUCUUCUCCGACCCGGCCAACUUCACCGCCAACUGGUCGGGCCCCAACGUCUGCGCCUACAACGGCGUCUUCUGCGCGCCGCACCCGGCCGACGGCGGCGUGGUCGUGGUCGCCGGGAUCGACCUCAACCACGCCGACCUCGCCGGGUACAUCCCCGACUCGCUCCCCGCGGGGCUCCCCGACCUGGCCCUGCUCCACCUCAACUCCAACCGCUUCUGCGGCGUGCUCCCGGACACCUUCCUCCACCUCCGCCUCCUCCACGAGCUCGACAUCAGCAACAACCGCUUCGUCGGCGGCUUCCCGGAGGUCGUGCUCCAGCUGCCCUCGCUCCGCUACCUGGACCUCAGGUUCAACGAGUUCGAGGGCGGCAUCCCGCCCGCGCUCUUCGACCGCCCGCUCGACGCCAUCUUCCUCAACUCGAAUCGCCUCACGCGCCCCAUCCCGCCCAACCUAGGCAACUCGCCGGCCUCUGUGCUCGUGCUCGCGCACAACAGGCUCGGGGGGUGCAUCCCGCCGUCGAUUGGGAGGAUGGCCGAGACGCUCAACGAGAUCGUGCUCAUCGACGACGACCUCACCGGCUGCAUCCCGCCGCAGGUCGGGAUGCUCAGGAAGGUGACCGUGUUCGAUGUCAGCGGCAACGGCCUGCAGGGCCCGCUCCCGGCCACCGUCGCUGGGUUGGUGGCCGUCCAGGAGCUCAACGUCGCCGGGAAUCUCUUGGAGGGCGCGGUGCCGGCGAGCGUCUGCGGGCUGUCGAGUCUGAGGAACUUCACCUACGAGGACAACUUCUUCACCGGCCGGCCGGGGUGCGCCGUGGCGACGGCGGACGGCAGGUGGAACUGCAUCCCCGGCGCUCCCGCGCAGCGCCCGCCGGCACAGUGCGCCGCGGCGGCUGCCCGCCCGUUCGACUGCAGCAGGGCACAAUGUCAGGCAGCACCACCGCCAGGCAGGCGCGGAGGCGGCCGC